UACGAAGGGGGCUAGCGUUGUUCGGAUUUACUGGGCGUAAAGCGCACGUAGGCGGAUCGUUAAGUCGGGGGUGAAAUCCUGGAGCUCAACUCCAGAACUGCCUUCGAUACUGGCGAUCUUGAGUCCGGAAGAGGUGAGUGGAAUUCCUAGUGUAGAGGUGGAAUUCGUAGAUAUUAGGAAGAACACCAGUGGCGAAGGCGGCUCACUGGUCCGGUACUGACGCUGAGGCGCGAAAGCGUGGGGAGUAAACAGG
rnacentral:rRNA from 1 species